rnacentral:rRNA from 1 species
ACUCCUACGGGAGGCAGCAGUGGGGAAUAUUGCACAAUGGGCGAAAGCCUGAUGCAGCAACGCCGCGUGCGGGAUGACGGCCUUCGGGUUGUAAACCGCUUUCAACGCAGACGAAGCGAAAGUGACGGUAUGCGUAGAAGAAGCACUGGCCAACUACGUGCCAGCAGCCGCGGUAAU